rnacentral:rRNA from 1 species
AUUGAACGCUGGCGGCAUGCCUUACACAUGCAAGUCGAACGGCAGCGGACCUUCGGGUGCCGGCGAGUGGNGAACGGGUGAGUAAUAUAUCGGAACGUACCUUUCAGUGGGGGAUAACGUAGCGAAAGUUACGCUAAUACCGCAUAUUCUGUGAGCAGGAAAGCAGGGGAUCGCAAGACCUUGCGCUGAUUGAGCGGCCGAUAUCAGAUUAGCUAGUUGGUGAGGUAAAGGCUCACCAAGGCGACGAUCUGUAGCGGGUCUGAGAGGAUGAUCCGCCACACUGGAACUGAGACACGGUCCAGACUCCUACGGGAGGCAGCAGUGGGGAAUUUUGGACAAUGGGCGCAAGCCUGAUCCAGCCAUGCCGCGUGAGUGAAGAAGGCCUC